UACGUAGGGGGCGAGCGUUGUCCGGAUUCAUUGGGCGUAAAGCGCUUUAAGGCGGUUCGGUAAGUCGGGUGUGAAACCUCCAGGCUCAACCUGGAGACGCCACUCGAUACUGCUGUGACUAGAGUUCGGUAGGGGAUCACGGAAUUCCUGGUGUAGCGGUGAAAUGCGCAGAUAUCAGGAGGGACACCGGUGGCGAAGGCGGUGAUCUGGGCCGACACUGACGCUGUAGAGCGAAAGCGUGGGGAGCGAACAGG
rnacentral:rRNA from 1 species